UUAGUAAUAUCAUCGCCGUUAUUAUUGCAGACAAAUGAUUUGUUAUUUGAUGCAAAAUAUUUUAAACAAAUAUUUGGAUCAAGCAAAUAUUCGGAUCGAGAACAAAGGCCUCCCUUAGUGUUCAUGUACUCCAAGUUGAACUCCAAGCAAAUAUUUCAUGACUUCUACAUCUAUUUAUCAAGUUGAACUGAAUUGCAUUCACACAACCACAAACUUCUACAUCUAUAUAUGCAUGACCCAACUGUGAUAUUCAAAUGGGACAUGCAUCGAAUUCCAUUAAAUAUGCAUGACUCGACUACAUUCCUAACAGGACGGAGGGAACAGAGAAGUAUAGUGUGGCUCCCCAAAACCCGUCCAAAAACCAAGCAAGUUAAACAAGUUAAACGAACAGAAUUUACAAAAAGGAUUUCAGCUAUUACAUCGAACUUAAACAAGCAAGUUAUUACGACAGUAGCGCACGUCAAUUUUUUUAUAAUAGGUUCCUAAUUUCAUUUGCAUGUUCAUCAACAAGAAAUCCAACAGAUACAUAAAAACUGGAGAAGAACCCAAAGAAGAAAAAAAAAGAAAUCCAACAGUACUGCAGAAAGUGUCUAAACUAAGCAUUUUGGAUUGUUUGAUAAUCACAACUGAACCAACAACAUUAUCCAACUUUAACAGCAGGACAUAAUCAUUGUAGACGUUGCUUUUCAUGUGACCUCUCUACCAAUUUAUCAGUAACUUUCCUAUCUCAUAUGAAUGAAACCAAAUGGAAGUAGGACAAAGUGUGAUGACAUUUAUGUCAAAGAACAGCUUAAUAACAGUAAAGAAAAAAGGCAAUAAUUUCAUAGGUCACGCGUUCUUGAAUGGGCUGUUGUUAUAUAGUGAAGUAAAAGACCUGAAUUUUUUAUUAAAAAUAAAUUUACAUCAAUAGUUGCAUCUGAGUAACAUGGAACAACAGAUAACUGACAGAUAAAACAACUGAGACAGGACACAUAUCAACUUUCUAUCACACCCAAAUGUUAGAUCCAAUAACCACUAACAGAUGUAGGAGAAGGUAGCAUAUGUUGGAUACUUGUGUCUACCAAUAGCAAAGAUUACAUUUUUAAAUUAUAUCAUCCUUUUAUUCUUGUGUUAUGCUAUGAUGCAAAUCUGGCCUGACUGACAGAUCAUUAUGAAUUCCUAAGUCCUAGUCCUACUUGAAUUAAGAAAAACGUGUUUUCCACCUUGUUAUUUUCAUGGACCACUUUAUAGUAACUUCAAAAAUCCUAACUUCAAUUCCAGUCCCUAAACUUGUGUUCUCCAUGAUUAUUAGUCCAACGUUGUCUAAAAACAAGAACGAAGAGGUUAAGAUCUUUAAACAACAAAUUUUGUAAAUACCAUGGAGAUUAUCACAUCUCUUCUUCUCUACUCUCCAUGUGUUCCUUUAAGCUGUCUUGGUAUACCUACCUUCUACCCUCAAAGAAUAAGAUCUUUUGUAGGAGAAGCAAAUCUUGUCAUAUUAAUAUGCAUUUUCUUCACCAAUUCUCUUCCUAAAGGCCUCCAUAAACAUCAACGAGUAGUACCCCGCCUACACCUUUGGCUAUAUGCCUCUAAUACGUGGCCGUGAAUAUGCAUUAAAUCACAAAACAAAAAAGAAACGUGUAUAUAAUGAUGAAUGAUCUUGUUAUUAUAUUAACAAAAAGAAACAUCGAUCAGGAACUGGAUUUCUAUGAUCUCGUUAUAUGCUUCCAAUCAGAAUACAAAAGAACAGGAAAAAGAUCUGAAGAAACAUGCAUAUAAUAAUGAAUAACAAUAAAAAACUAUAAGCAUCGGAUCAGAAAAAAGAAAGAAAGAAAUCCGAAUAAACAUGUAUAUAAUAAUGAAUGACAGAAUACAACACAUCUGCCAUCUAACCUUUUCUUUUGCCUAUUUACGUGUUCUGCAGACUUUGAACUCGUAAACUAAUAACGUAGGAAAGAACACGAAGAAGCUAGUCAAAGAAUGUUCAUUAGGAAACAACAGUUCAAGAACACGGAAGAGAAAAACAACCAAAAAAAAAGAUGGCCGGAAACAAAAAGGAAGAGAAGAAAACCAUAGAACAAAGAGUGGGGAAUUUACCCCAAAAAAGAAAUAGUCCUAUCACUAUAAUUUUGUUUUACUUUCCUUCUUGCCUCCCCACAUUCCGAAAGAUAUACAGAUACAGAAAAGUCGAUUCGAUCAGCACAGUUCGUGAAGAAAAUGUAAGAACAAAUCGAAGAUCAAGUGACUGAAAAAGAAACAGAGGAUGAGAGCGUUCCAUCAAGCGAGUCUCCUCCGGAGAUGAAGACAAGAGCAAAGAAAGAAAAGGACGGGGCGAGAAGGACGUGAAUUGAGAGAAAAUGGAGAGGGUGAAGAUGACGAGAUCAAAGAAAGAAAAGAGAGAGAAAGGCGUGAAUCGAGAGAAAAGGGAAGGAGGAACCCACCUCCGGGAGAAGGCGAAGAAGAGAAGAGACCGGACGCGUCCCUUGUCACCCAUCGGAAUGCCUUGUCGCCUUCCUAUCCCCGUUCUUGGCUGCCGCCUCCACCAUUGCCUUCUCCUCGUCUGAUCCGUCCUCGCCAAUGAGAGCGGCAACAAGUAGUCGUAUAUGAAUGGGAAACGGAAAAGGAGAGUUCGUUAUACAGUCUAAUAAGCUUCUUGAUUCAUACCAUGCACUCGGGCUCAUCGCAUCAUCAUCAUCAUCAUCGGAGCUACCCUUAUGAUUCGUUCACUUUCCGAUCCGACGGUACUAUUCGUGGGCAACGUUUUAGUUAGGAUACGCCUCGAGCAUAACCACACGACCACUACGGACGGUUUAGAUUCACCGAUUUGUGGUGCGUACGUGGUAGUCUGUGACUUCGUUUGGGGCAAGCAUAGCUAUCCUGUCUCGACCGAUUCAGCAAACAGCUUCAUAUCUCCUGAGAACCACAACCCGUACGCCAACCCCGCUGGCCCGUUGUGCUGAUAUCAUUACCGCAUUCCUGAACAUCACGAGGAAGGGACGCUGUUUUGUGGAUCGACCGAUACAGGGAAAUCUGUUAGUCCUCAUCAAGAAAGCUUGGAAGGUAUCCCCAUGCAUUAAAGGUUGGAAUUCAAAUUAAAUCACGAAGCUGUUUGUGUUCUGUUUUUAGCUUUUAGUCUUUCCACUGGAAGAUGGACUUGGCAUGACGAAUGGGUUCAAUAGUGUAAAAAAAUAAAAAUAAAAGCGGCCGGAGAAAAGAUUUGGACCGGAAUUAAUGAGAGAUAAACUGAUGGUGAAGAAUGAAUGGGCAGUGACGUAUAAAAUGUCACUCAUCAAGGGAAGCUUAAAUGAUUCUUUCGAAAUGGGGUGCAACUACUGAAACUUUCAUGGUUUUAAUCUCUCCCGGAGAUGGUCCUUCUAACUUUGCUGGCUUCAUACAUUCUAAUCCCAAGAAAAACUAUGGCCACCUGUUGCACAUGAAAGAAAUAAUACAGAAGCACAGAAUUUACCUGCAACCUCAAUCUCAAAAUUACAACAUACAGUUGUUUUCUUCUGUAGAUACUAGUCCGCACCAGAUCUCAUCAAGCCAUGCACCAGCUCGUAUGUGUUUUUCCGUGCAACCUAUACGUGAUUUGCAGAGGUAUACAUCACACGUAAAAAAAAUAUUUAUACGAAAACACCACGUCACUACAGCAUCGGCUCACAGAAGCAAAAACCCAAAAUUGUAGCGUGCAUCGAAAAGCAUCCACGUCACUACAACUUUUAUCCCUCGUCCAGAUAUAUUCUAUAAUGAUGAUAAGGUACAAUUUAGUAGUAUGCCCUCUAGUAGCUGUCCACGGUCACAUCGGCGCCAACUAAGAGCUUCGAAAUUGAUAUGACAGACCAUAUCAACAUAAUGCCCUGAAUUCGGACAAUACGUAUAUCCUCCAUACAAAACCGUGCAAGGGGCGUCGUAAGAUACAAUGCCGCCCCCACAAAGAUUGGAACAGUGCCACUAGGGUACGACGUCGCUCCGCAAAGAUUGGGAUGGUGUCGCACGGGUAUUACGCCAUCCAGCAAAGGUCUGGACAACGUCGUUCGGGUACGACAUUGCCCAAUGAGAUCGGGAUGACGUCGCUCGGUGUCGAUCUACGCAGGACGAUCGAUAUCCGCACGAAGGGUAUGGGUUCGCCGCUUGAGAGAUCGACAAUCAUUAACAUAUCAGGUACAACCAACCACUGUGUGUAGGUAUAAAAACCCAUCGUUUGGCCAAUACCAUUGAGGCUUUUCCUCUCAAACACUUAACUCUCUCUCUCAUUCGACCAAAAAUUAACUUAAGUUUCGGAGGGGUCGAGUCGGAAAAUCCAUCUCCCGACCUCGACCUGUGUGCAGGAGCUCAGCGACGAAGAAACAUGCCACUUGCCAAGAGAGAAGAUCACGCUCAGAGGACAAGGCUCGAGCCCGACUCGACUUGACGCACAAGCAUCGACGUGGGAGACCCUACGCAUCGAGGACUUGGAGACAGAAGGCUGCAUUGAACACGGGAAGACCGACGCCCACCCCUGAGACCCGAGUGCUAGACCGGACAAUUUUGUAUAUCUGGAUUUGAACUUAGCCGUGCUGACUCCCCGACCACAAUAUAAAGAGACACUAACAAAUGACAUACUAAUUGUUGUUUGUAAAUGAUUCUUCUCAGUGAAACUAAGAUGUUACAUAUACUACAGAUACAUUUUGAAUACAGACUAUAUGUAUAUAUGUAUAUAUAUAUAUGUAUAUAUGUAUAUAUGUAUGUAUAUAUGUAUAUAUAUAUAUGUAUAUAUAUAUAUAUAUGUAUAUAUAAUAACUGCUGAAUCUCUCUAAUAUGCGCUGGCUGCUUGUCAAUCGAGACCAAUGUAUGGAGUGCAUUGCUUGUCUAUCUCUUCUAACUGCAUUGUGAACUAUAUAGCAUCGUUAAGGACAAUAUGCCUUGUGGUAUUGCUCAGAUUUUUCCUAAUCUUUUUGGCAUUCUUUAGUGUUUAUUCUAUGGUGAUUGCAAGUACUUUAGAUGAAUAUUUAAUGCUUGUUCAGAAAGAAUGAGAAUUAGGACCCAAUCUUAAAACACAACAUUCGUCGUGAAACAAUAAACAACCAAGAAAGGGGCAUGAAAUGAGAGUAAAGGAAAUAUUAGAGCUCAGGCAAUCCCUUACGAAGACGACAUUCUAUGAAAACCUAACAAGAAACAAUCAAUGAAAGCGAGAAGUAGUCAGGAAGAAAUGACUAGAACCCAAGCGAUCGCAUUGGAAGGGAACGAGUUUUACGAAACCCCAAGAAAAAACAAUAAGAAACCGGAAAAAAGGGAUUACAUGCCCAUGAACAAUCCAACGGAGAAAAUCAAAAACGCAGUGAAGACCACAAACAACGAGAUCGGACGAGGAGCUCGUCAUAGGCUUUGGGACCAGCGAUGAUCUGAUCCUGGAAAACAAACGAAUGAAAAAAGGACAGACCUCUAAACCCUAAAGAACCUU
rnacentral:lncRNA from 1 species